GAACUCCAAGGAUUUUGAGCGUGCAAAAGCAGUGCGCCAGAAGGAAGAGUGCUGCUUCACCAUCUUGUACGGCACCCAGUUUGUCCUCAGCACUCUCAGUUUGGCAGCUGACUCUAAAGAGGAUGCAGUUAAAUGGCUCUCUGGCUUGAAAAUCUUACACCAAGAAGCAAUGAAUGCGUCCACGCCUACCAUUAUUGAGAGUUGGCUGAGGAAGCAGAUUUAUUCUGUGGAUCAAACCAGAAGAAACAG